AACACAUGCAAGUCGAACGGACAAUUAUUUAUAGCUUUUGGCUAUAGGCAAUUGUUAGUGGCAGACGGGUGAGUAAUGCGUAGGAAUCUACCUAGUAGUACGGAAUAGCCAUUAGAAAUGAUGGGUAAUACUGUAUAAUCCCCGAGGGGGAAAGAUUUAUCGCUAUUAGAUGAGCCUACGUUAGAUUAGCUAGUUGGUAAGGUAAUGGCUUACCAAGGCUAUGAUCUAUAGCUGGUCUGAGAGGACGAUCAGCCACACUGGAACUGAGAUACGGUCCAGACUCCUACGGGAGGCAGCAGUGGGGAAUAUUGGACAAUGGGCGAAAGCCUGAUCCAGCUAUGCCGCGUGAGUGAAGAAGGCCUUCGGGUUGUAAAACUCUUUCAAUAGGGAAGAUAAUGACGGUACCUAUAGAAGAAGUCCCGGCAAACUCUGUGCCAGCAGCCGCGGUAAUACGGAGGGGGCAAGCGUUGUUCGGAAUUAUUGGGCGUAAAGGGCACGUAGGUGGACUAGUAAGUUAAAAGUGAAAUACCAAAGCUUAACUUUGGAGCGGCUUUUAAUACUGCUAGACUAGA
rnacentral:rRNA from 1 species